rnacentral:snRNA from 1 species
AUAAAUUUUUUUCAAAUGAAAAAAAAAUCUGUUCUUAUCAGUUUAAUAUCUGAUACGUCCCCUACCCGGGGACCAUAUAUUAAAUUGAUUUUUGGAACUGGGAGAUGGAAAAGGGGCUUGCCCCGUCCACUCCACGCAUCGACCUGGUAUUGCAGUACCUCCAGGACCGGUGCACCCCUC